CUACGGGAGGCAGCAGUGGGGAAUAUUGGACAAUGGGCGAAAGCCUGAUCCAGCCAUGCCGCGUGAGUGAUGAAGGCCCUAGGGUUGUAAAGCUCUUUCACCGGUGAAGAUAAUGACGGUAACCGGAGAAGAAGCCCCGGCUAACUUCGUACCAGCAGCCGCGGUAAUACGAAGGGGGCUAGCGUUGUUCGGAUUUACUGGGCGUAAAGCGCACGUAGGCGGAUUGUUAAGUUAGAGGUGAAAUCCCGGGGCUCAACCCCGGAACUGCCUUUGAUACUGGCAAUCUCGAGUCCGGAAGAGGUGAGUGGAAUUCCGAGUGUAGAGGUGAAAUUCGUAGAGAUUCGGAGGAACACCAGUGGCGAAGGCGGCUCACUGGUCCGGUACUGACGCUGAGGUGCGAAAGCGUGGGGAGCAAACAGGAUUAGAAACCCUAGUAGUCC
rnacentral:rRNA from 1 species